rnacentral:rRNA from 1 species
UACGUAGGGUGCAAGCGUUAUCCGGAAUCACUGGGCGUAAAGCGUGCGUAGGUGGCGCGUUAAGUGAGAUGUUAAAUCGUGUGGCUCAACCAUAUCGAUGCAUCUCAUACUGGCGUGCUAGAGGACGGAAGAGGCGAGUGGAAUUCCUGGUGUAGCGGUGAAAUGCGCAGAUAUCAGGAGGAACACCGGUGGCGAAGGCGGUUCUCUGGGCAUGACCUGACGUGAGGAGCGAAAGUGUGGG